AUACGUAGGGGGCUAGCGUUAUCCGGAAUUACUGGGCGUAAAGGGUGCGUAGGUGGUUUCUUAAGUCAGAAGUGAAAGGCUACGGCUCAACCGUAGUAAGCUUUUGAAACUAAGAGACUUGAGUGCAGGAGAGGAGAGUAGAAUUCCUAGUGUAGCGGUGAAAUGCGUAGAUAUUAGGAGGAAUACCAGUUGCGAAGGCGGCUCUCUGGACUGUAACUGACACUGAGGCACGAAAGCGUGGGGAGCAAACAGGAUUAGAUACCCUGGUAGUCCACGCCGUAAACGGUGAGUACUAGCUGUCGGGGGUUACCCCCCUCGGUGGCGCAGCUAACGCAUUAAGUACUCCGCCUGGGAAGUACGCUCGCAAGAGUGAAACUUAAAGGAAUUGACGGGG
rnacentral:rRNA from 1 species